CUGGACAUGGACAAGUGGACGACGGAUGAUGUCAGCGCAUGGUCGACCAGAAAACCGAUUGGGAUCUGCGUGUUCUGCCUUUCAAGACAAUCCUUGAAGGGUCGGCCUCCUGAGCCUGCCAUUGGUGUUCCAUGAAAGAGACACCUGCUCUUCACGUCCAACAACAACGUAAGUGUGUUGACACCGAUCAUCCAAGUCAAGGAGGAUGAAUUUUGUGUUUUCGUUGAUGGCCUGGAAGCCGUGACCGGCAUCACCACAGAAAUUGAAGCUGUUAGUACAUUGUUUGCCCUUUACUACAUCUUUGAUGUGAAGCACCCAGCAGA